GGGAAAAAAAACUGCCUGGUUUCAAAUAGACUUUCCAAUAGUUCUGACCAUCCAAGACACCGUGCUUCUUGAAAAAUACAUUUUCUCUCACUGAAAAUGUAUAGUAAGCCUAUAGUGGUAUCUAUGUCAGGAAUGUUGUGAAAGAAUUUCUGAGGCAUAUGGGACUUUUAUGCAGCAAAUUUUUAAGCUAUGAAGGCUGAGAAGUCCAAGGUCAAGGGGCCCUCACCUGGUGAAGGCCUUCUUGCUAGGGGGAACUCUGUAGAAUCCUGAAGCAGCCCAGACCAUCGCAUGUUGAGGAGGCAGAGUAUGCCAAAAGUCUUUCUCUUCUUAUAAAGGCAGCAGUCCCACUCCAUUUAUAAACUGGUUGUUGUGGGCAUCAAGUGGGAAUAUAUGAGGGAAAUUUUCAAGCUGUGAAACAAAGCAUACACAUUUGAGGAUAUGUUAUAGAAACAAAACUUCUUGCCUAUCGUACUUUCACAGUGGUAAGUUUCUCUUUAUUUUCUUAUUACAUUUCAAUACAAAUGCUUCACUUUAUGGUAUGUUAAGCCAAUAAUGAUGCCAUUAAUAAUAUAUUUUAUAUUCUGAAUGAAUAUUCAUUCCUUUAACAGACAUUGGCAUAUACUAUGUACCAGACAUCUUCAGGUAAGUGAAAGUUUGUACCCUUCAAGGAACUUAAAUUCCAAUAAUGUAUAAGGUAGAAAGAAAGGGGUAACUAUUGCAAAAUGAGACUUUCGAUGAUAGACUUAAAUGUGGGAUACUAUUGGAACAUAAAAUUUUGCAGAAGGAGAGAGGCAUUCUGAAGAUAUUAGGUUCCCACGUGAAGAAAGAGGUGUAUUGGUUAACAAUAGUCUUGAUUCAAAUAGCAUAAACCUAAAUACAUCUAGCUCAAUAAAUAAAUAAAUAGUAGGAAAAGUGUUGUUAUGUAAUUGAACAGUCGAUGAGUGUUUAUUCCACGUCUUUGCUAUUGUGACUAGUGCUGCAAUAAACAUAAAUGCGCAUGUACCUUUAUAAUAGAAUGACUUACAUUCGUUAGGUAUAUACUCAGUAAUAGGAUUGCUGGGUCAAAUGGUAUUUUUGGUUUUAGAUCUUUGAGGAAUUGCCACAAUUGUCUUUUAGAAUGGCUGAACUAAUAUAUAUUCUCAUCAACAGUGUAAAAGCAUUCCUAUUUCUCCACAGCCUCUCCAGCAUCUGUUGUUUCUUGACUUUUUAAUAUUCACCAUUCUAAAGGCAUGAGAUGUUAUUUCAUUAUGGUUUUAAUUUGCAUUUCCUAAUGAUCAGUGAUGAUGAGCAUUUUUUCAUAUGUUUGUUGGCUGCAUAAAUGUCUUCUUUUGAGAAGUGUCAGCUCAUAUCCUUUGCCUACUUUUUCAUGUUUUUUUUUUCUUGUAAAUUUGUUUAAAAUCCUUGUAAAUUCUGGGUUAUAGACAUUUGUCAGAUGGGUAGAUUGCAAAAACUUUCUCCCAUUCUGUAGGUUGCCUGUUUGCUGUGAUGAUAGUUUUUUUUUUUGUUUGUUUGUUAUUUUUUUUUUGCUGCAGAGGCUCUUUCAUUUAAUUAGAUCCCAUUUGUCUAUUUUAGCUUUUGUUGCAAUUGCUUUUGGUGUUUUACUCAUGAAGUUUUUGCCCAUGCCCAUGUCCUGAAUGGCAUUGCCUAGGUUUUCUUCCAGGGCUUUUAUAGUUUUAGGUUUUACAUUUAAGAGUUUAAUUGCUCUUGAGUUAAUUUUUGUAUAAAGUGCAAGGAAGAGGUCUAGUUUCAGUCUCCCGCAUAUGGCUAAUCGGCUUUCUCAGCACCAUUCACUAAAUAGGGAACCCUUUCCCCAUUGCUUGUUUUCAUUAGGUUUGUAGUAUAGUUUGAAGUCAGGCAGCGUGAUGCCUCCUGCUUUGAUCUUUUUGCUUAGGAUUGUUUUGACUAUACAGGCUCCUUUUUGGUUCCAUGUGAAUUUUAAAGUAGUUUUUUCUGAUUCUGUGAAGAAUGUUAAUGGUAGUUUGAUAGGAAUAGCAUUGAAUCUAUAAAUUACCUUGGGAAGUAUGGCUAUUUUCACAACAUUCAUUCUUUGUAUCCAUGAGGAUAGAAUGUUUUUCCAUUUGUUUGUGUCCUCUCUUAUUUUCUUGAGCAGUGGUUUGUAGAUCUCCUUGAAGAGGUCCUUCACAUUCCUUGUUAUGUGUAUUCCUAGGUAUUUUAUUCUCUUUGAAGCAAUUGUGAAUAGGAGUUAAUUCAUGAUUUGGCUCUCUGCAUGUCUAUUGUUUGUGUAUAGGGAUGGCUGUGAUUUUUGCCCAUUGAUUUUUGUAUUCUGAGACUUUGCUAAAGUUGUUUAUCAGCUUAAGAAGUUUUGGGCUGAGACAAUGGGGUUUUCUAAAUAUACAAUCAUGUUGUUUGCAAACAGACAAUUUGAGUUCCUCUCUCCCUAUUUGAAUACAUUUAUUUCUGUCUCUUGCCUGAUUGCCCUGGCCAGAACGUCCAAUACUAUGUUGAAUAGGAGUGGUGAGAGAGGGUGUUCUUGUUUUGUGCCGGUUUUCAAAGGGAAGGCUUCCAGCUUUUGCCCAUUCAGUAUGAUAUUUACUGUGGGUUUGUAACAAAUCCCUUUUAUUAUUUUGAGAUAUGUUCCAUCAAUACCUAAUUUAUUGAGAAUUUUUAACAUGAAGCGAUGUUAAAUUUUAUCAAAGGCUUCUUCUGCAUCUAUUGAGAUAAUCAUGUGGUUUUUGUCGUUGGUUCUGUUUAUUUGAUGGAUUAUGUUUAUUUAUUUGCAUAUGUUGAACCAGCCUUACAUCCCAGCGAUGAAGCUGACUUGGUCAUGUUGUAUAAGCUUUUUGAUAUGCUGUUGGAUUCAGUUUGCCAGUAUGUUAUUAAGGAUUUUUGUAUCGAUGUUCAUCAGGGAUAUUGGCCUGAAGUUUU
rnacentral:lncRNA from 1 species